UACGUAGGGUGCGAGCGUUAAUCGGAAUUACUGGGCGUAAAGCGUGCGCAGGCGGCUUGCCAAGUCAGAUGUGAAAGCCCCGGGCUCAACCCGGGAACUGCGUUUGAAACUGGCAGGCUAGAGUUUGGCAGAGGGGGGUGGAAUUCCACGUGUAGCAGUGAAAUGCGUAGAGAUGUGGAGGAAUACCGAUGGCGAAGGCAGCCCCCUGGGCCAAUACUGACGCUCAUGCACGAAAGCGUGGGGAGCAAACAGG
rnacentral:rRNA from 1 species